AGUCGAGCGAGAACCAGGCCUUCGGGCCCGGGGACAGCGGCGAACGGGUGAGUAACACGUGGGUAAUCUGCCCUCGGUACUGGGAUAGCCCGGGGAAACCCGGAUUAAUACCGGAUAGCCCUUCGAGCCUUCGGGCUCGCAGGAAAAGGGAGCUUCGGCCUCCGACCGAGGAUGAGCCCGCGGCGGAUUAGCUUGUUGGUGGGGUAACGGCCUACCAAGGCGACGAUCCGUAGCUGGUCUGAGAGGACGAUCAGCCACACUGGGACUGAGACACGGCCCAGACUCCUACGGGAGGCAGCAGUGGGGAAUCUUGCCCAAUGGGCGAAAGCCUGAGGCAGCGACGCCGCGUGCGGGAAGAAGGCCUUCGGGUUGUAAACCGCUUUCAGGGGGGACGAAGCCACUCGGGUUAAUAGCCCAGAGGGUGACGGUACCUCCAGAAGAAGCCCCGGCUAACUACGUGCCAGCAGCCGCGGUAAUACGUAGGGGGCAAGCGUUGUCCGGAUUUAUUGGGCGUAAAGAGCGUGUAGGCGGCUAGGUAGGUCCGUUGUGAAAACUCGAGGCUCAACCUCGAGACGCCGGUGGAAACCAUCUAGCUAGAGUCCGGAAGAGGAGAGUGGAAUUCCUGGUGUAGCGGUGAAAUGCGCAGAUAUCAGGAAGAACACCCGUGGCGAAGGCGGCUCUCUGGGACGUGACUGACGCUGAGACGCGAAAGCGUGGGGAGCGAACAGGAUUAGAUACCCUGGUAGUCCACGCCGUAAACGAUGGGUGCUAGGUGUGGGCGGUGUCGACUCCGUCCGUGCCGAAGCUAACGCAUUAAGCACCCCGCCUGGGGAGUACGGCCGCAAGGCUAAAACUCAAAGGAAUUGAC
rnacentral:rRNA from 1 species